rnacentral:rRNA from 1 species
GGACGAACGCUGGCGGCACGCCUAACACAUGCAAGUCGAACGGUAGAUACUUAGCUUGCUUGUAUCUAUAGUGGCGGACGGGUGAGUAACACGUGAGCAACCUGCCUCUGAGAGAGGGAUAGCUUCUGGAAACGGAUGGUAAUACCUCAUGAUAUAGCAUUCUCGCAUGGGAAUGCUAUCAAACGAAUUUCGCUCAGAGAUGGGCUCGCGUCUGAUUAGCUAGAUGGUGAGGUAACGGCCCACCAUGGCGACGAUCAGUAGCCGGACUGAGAGGUCAAACGGCCACAUUGGGACUGAGACACGGCCCAGACUCCUACGGGAGGCAGCAGUGAGGGAUAUUGCACAAUGGGGGAAACCCUGAAUGCAGCGAUGCCGCGUGGAGGAAGAAGGUUUUCGGAUUGUAAACUCCUGUUUCGAGGGACGAUAAUGACGGUACCUCGGGAGGAAGCUCCGGCUAACUACGUGCCAGCCGCAGC